rnacentral:rRNA from 1 species
AUUGAACGCUGGCGGCAGGCUUAGCACAUGCAAGUCGAGCGGGGAAAGGUAGCUUGCUACCUGACCUAGCGGCGGACGGGUGAGUAAUGCUUAGGAAUCUGCCUAUUAGUGGGGGACAACAUUCCGAAAGGAAUGCUAAUACCGCAUACGCCCUACGGGGGAAAGCAGGGGAUCUUCGGACCUUGCGCUAAUAGAUGAGCCUAAGUCAGAUUAGCUAGUUGGUGGGGUAAAGGCCUACCAAGGCGACGAUCUGUAGCGGGUCUGAGAGGAUGAUCCGCCACACUGGGACUGAGACACGGCCCAGACUCCUACGGGAGGCAGCAGUGGGGAAUAUUGGACAAUGGGCGAAAGCCUGAUCCAGCCAUGCCGCGUGUGUGAAGAAGGCCUUUUGGUUGUAAAGCGCUUUAAGCGAGGAGGAGGCUACCGAGAUUAAUACUCUUGGAUAGUGGACGUUACUCGCAGAAUAAGCACCGGCUAACUCUGUGCCAGCCGCCGCCGUAA